UGUACUCCAGAAAGCGUUGGAGGAGGGUACAACAUCUGAUCAACGAGUUCUGGGAUCGUUGGAGAAAGGAGUUUCUCCAGAACUUACAGACACGCCAGAAAUGGACUCGGCCCCGACGGGAUGCUAAGAUUGGGGAUAUCGUCAUCAUGAAAGACGAGAACUUGCCACGAAAUCAAUGGUCCCUAGCAAGGAUAAGCGAGGUCUUUCCUUCUACCGAUGGACUCAUUCGUAAAGUGAAGCUCGUAAAGGGUGACUCCGAACUUGACGACAGCGGUAAGCGUAAAGGACCUGUGAAAGAACUAGAGCGUCCGAUACACAAACUGGUUUUGCUGCUUCCGCGUGAAGACCAGGACGGAUUCCCGACCAAGGAGCCUUGAAUACUGUAAGGUAAUUAAUAUCCCUCACAAAUAGGUUUUGAUAGAUUUAAGUAAAUAUAGAAGUCUGAACAUAAGACUAUCCAAAAUUCGAAUUACCCGCAAAAUCUGAAAGUCUAGAAUAAGACUAGUCAAAUAAUCUAAUUGAAGUUUUAGAACCAAGAAUAUCUGUAAUUGGUCUGUAACAAAGACUAUGCUGGAACUGUAACUACAGACGCACAUCAGCUGAAAUGAAGUCUAAUUGAACUGAGUAAACUCUUGAACUAAUUGAUCUGAUUGAACAACAACAAGAACUCUUUUUGUGGAUUGACGACAUUUCCGAAUGAGCUGUAAUGACCUUUAUUGCUGUUUGUUUUUUGUUCUCUGUUUGAAAAAAUGUAAUCUUAUCAAAUUGGAAGAUCGAGCAUAUGACAACUAUAUUUGUAGAAAACGGAAAUUAAGUUGAUAUACCUCAUUUUAUCGCAUUAAUUACCUUGCAAAAAAUUACAAUGUGAUUGCACUUAUAAGAAUGUAUUUAAAGGGUAUUUCAGUUCAAUUUCAUCAUUAUGCUUGUAUGUAUUGUAUACAUGAAUGAGCAUUAGAUGUGAACCUGAAUUGAAACCCCCCUUUUGCAACGUAAAUUCAUGCAGAGUAUUUGAACUGAGAGUUGAUCCAGGUUAUUUUCUCGAUUUCUAAAUCCAGUACUUGCAAAUACAGCUAAUUGCUAGUCAUAAAUGGUGAGUUGCAAGGUCUGAGUGUUUGAGACUCGCGGUUAAAUUUAAUUUAACUCAGAUGCUGUAAUAAGAUACUUGGUACAAGCUCUGUACUAGAGAUGAAGUAAUCUCACGAUACAAUUUGAACUGUAAAUCUUGAAUAAAGAUUUGUUUUCCUGCAUGCGCAAUUGAUCAUGUACGUUUCAAGAUAAGUAGAAAUUGAAAUUUUGAGAUGUAGAUCUAUAUGUAUACAUAUAUUGAUAUAUUUUGAACUAUUAAUGUUGAUAAGGAACAAAUAAUCCAAGUCAUUUCUAUGAAGCUAAAAAGGGGUAAAUUAAUUAUUAAUUUAAAGGAGCCAUGUUAAUGUGAUCGUUUAUGAGAGUUAGUUUAUCUGACAAAAAGGAGUAUUCUGACUUACGUCAUGGGCUGAAAUAGCGCCAUCUACGCUUUCCUAAUUCCGACAUAGCAGUAGCAACGAAUUGGAUGUUCGCACCGAAAUCUUGUCCUAAAUUACACCUGUUAUUGAUACGAAGCCAACCCGUUUGCAACAAUAAGGAGGCAAGAAGUUUUCACGGAGCAAGUGUGAUGGAAUUAGUUGACAUAGAAUAAAUUAGCAAGUCAACCCUACUACGACUUUUCAUUGACUGUUUCUUCAC
rnacentral:lncRNA from 1 species